rnacentral:rRNA from 1 species
CUGCCUCAUACAUGCAAGUCGAACGAAGUCUUCGGACUUAGUGGCGAACGGGUGCGUAACGCGUGGGAACCUGCCCUUAGGUUCGGAAUAACAGUUAGAAAUGACUGCUAAUGCCGGAUAAUGUCUUCGGACCAAAGAUUUAUCGCCUUUGGAUGGGCCCGCGUAGGAUUAGGUAGUUGGUGAGGUAAAGGCUCACCAAGCCGACGAUCCUUAGCUGGUCUGAGAGGAUGAUCAGCCACACUGGGACUGAGACACGGCCCAGACUCCUACGGGAGGCAGCAGUAGGGAAUAUUGGACAAUGGGCGAAAGCCUGAUCCAGCAAUGCCGCGUGAGUGAUGAAGGCCUUAGGGUUGUAAAGCUCUUUUCCAGGGAUGAUAAUGACAGUACCUGGAGAAUAAGCUCCGGCUACUCCGUGCCAGCAGCCCGCGGUAU